GUGGAUGAGGCAUGCAAGUCGAACGGAAUAGUAGGGCAACUUGCUAUUUAGUGGCGGAAGGGUUAGUAAUACAUGAAUAACCUGCCUUUAACCUGGGGAUAACUCCUGGAAACGGGUGUUAAUACCGAAUGAGGUGACGGAAGCGAUAGCUACUGUCAUCAAAGUAGGGGAUCUUGAAAGAGACCUUGCGGUUAAUGAGGGGUUCAUGGGAUAUCAGCUAGUUGGUGUGGUAACGGCGCACCAAGGCUAAGACGUCUAGGCGAUUGAGAGAUUG
rnacentral:rRNA from 1 species